GCCAGAUCGUUGAGCUGCAUUGGCGGGAUUUCGCCGUCUUCGUUUCUCUUUCUUCGCGGACGAACACGCGCUGGGGCUGCAGGCUUGCAGAUCCCUGGUCCUUGACUGGAUAUGCGUUAGGGGCUUGUAGCUCAGUUGGUUAGAGCGCGCGCUUGAUAAGCGUGAGGUCGGAAGUUCAAGUCUUCCCAGGCCCACCACUUUCAUCGAGUGUGCAUUCGUCUUCUGGUUACGGGGCCAUAGCUCAGCUGGGAGAGCGCGUGCUUUGCAAGCAUGAGGUCGUCGGUUCGAUCCCGUCUGGCUCCACCAGAUGGUUUGAUCACCGAGAUCUUGUACCGUCGUCCGCGAAACAUCACUUCGCACUUGCUAGUCCGGAUGGACAGUAAGCUGCGUGAUUUCUGACAUCGUAAAGAGGAGAUCGAUCCGAGUUGGAUCGUGCGGAGAAUAUCUGCGCGAUACUUCAUUAUCUCCGGAUCAUUUCGGCGCUCGCGCGCCUUUCAGUGUAGCUCACAAGGCUGCGGCUGAGAGACGGGCGAGUUGUGAAUGAUCCUUUUAGCGAAGCUUGACCGCCUCGCUAUCGGAACGAUCUUACGAAGCAAGCUGGUCUUUCUAGUCAAUGUCCGGCUGCAGAUAGCGUUCAUCGAGGGCGCGUGCCGCAAGGUAAUUCUGCAGACAACAUUCUGCCGAGUGUGUGGACAUUGAUAAUGAGAGCAAUCAAGUGCCUUAAGGGUGUUCGGUGGAUGCCUUGGCGCUG
rnacentral:tRNA from 1 species